AAUCAACGCUGGCGGCGUGCCUCAGACAUGCAAGUCGAACGCGAAAGUUUCCUUCGGGAGACCGGUAGAGUGGCGCACGGGUGAGUAACACGUGGGUAAUUUACCUUUGGGUGGGGAAUAACAGUCGGAAACGACUGCUAAUACCGCAUAAUGCAGCGGCAGCUCAUGCUGACAGUUGUUAAAAGCGGGGGAUCUGCAAAGACCUCGCGCCUAAAGAGAAGCCCGCGGCGGAUUAGCUAGUUGGUGAGGUAAUGGCUCACCAAGGCGUCGAUCCGUAGCCGGCCUGAGAGGGCGGUCGGCCACACUGACACUGAAUAACGGGUCAGACUCCUACGGGAGGCAGC
rnacentral:rRNA from 1 species